UUUCCGUAGGUGAACCUGCGGAAGGAUCAUUAACACGUAUCCACGUAUCAAACCAACGUUGAAAUGUUGUCGUGUUGAAGUAGGAGCGAAAGGCUAUGUGGUGAGGAAAGAGGCAGUUUUUCUGCUUUUCUCUCGUCUUCGUUUCCACGAACUCUUUUUUCGGAAGGGGCUCAUGCUUCAGCAAUGACUAUCGCCACGGUUUAUUUAACCACUAUGAAUUUUUGUACUAAUAUUUUCUUAACGUGAGUGUUUUUCGAAACCUCCUUUAAGUAUAAUUACGAAACUUUGAACAACUCUUAGCAACGGAUAUCUUGGUUUCC
rnacentral:misc_RNA from 1 species